UCUAGGGUAGCCUAGUUGACAUGGCAUCUGUCCGGUAAGCGGAACACUGGGUUCGAUUCCCAUACUUCUUGUAGGAU
rnacentral:tRNA from 1 species